UACGUAGGGUCCGAGCGUUAAUCGGAAUUACUGGGCGUAAAGCGUGCGCAGGCGGUUUUGUAAGCCAGAUGUGAAAGCCCCGGGCUCAACCUGGGAACUGCAUUUGGGACUGCAAGGCUGGAGUACGGCAGAGGGAGGUGGAAUUCCACGUGUAGCAGUGAAAUGCGUAGAUAUCUGGAGGAACACCGGUGGCGAAGGCGGCAUCCUGGACCAAUACUGACACUGAGGAGCGAAAGCCAGGGGAGCAAACGGG
rnacentral:rRNA from 1 species